AAGUCGUAACAAGGUUUCCGUAGGUGAACCUGCGGAAGGAUCAUUAAUAAUUCCAAACCAAAAAUGUAUGGUUAUGGCGUCGAGUUUGACUCUUCACCUACCAUAUCUACCCUUGUGAAUGUACCUAUUGAAUGGCGACGCAAGUUGUCAUGCUUUUGCGCGAUGCUUCGGCUAACGCACUAGCACUUUUAUAAACACCCUUUUUUUAUAUGAACGGGUGAUUAAUGUCAAUUUGACAUGCCUAUUUUAAAUCGAAAUAACUUUUAACAAUGGAUCUCUUGGCUCUUGCAACGAUGAAGAACGCAGCAAUAUGCGAUAACUAAUGUGACUCGCACAAGCUCGUGAAUCAUCAAGUUUUUGAACGCACAUUGCACUUCCUGGUAUUCCGGGAAGUACACCUGUUUGAGUAUCAUUUAACCUCUCACGAUGUAUUCUUUUGAAGGAUAUACGUGGAUUUGAGCUUUACGCGGCGCAAGUUGCGAAGCUUUAAAGGUAGCGAUUCUAGCUUUGUUUGCUAUACAAGCGUGAUAAAAUCAUUUGUUCGCUUGGCAAGUAGAGUGUGAUGAAUACGUUGUGGAUAAUGCGGACGCUUUCGAGCGUACCCACGAACCCUUUUGAUCUCAAAUCAGGUGGGAGGACCCGCUGAACUUAAGCAUAUCAAUAAGCGGAGGAA
rnacentral:rRNA from 1 species